ACUCAAUCAUGUACAGUACAUGAUCAGUUACCGAGGUCUCAUCUUUCAUUCGGGCGCUGAAGAUGGCACAACUAGUUUUGUGCCUCUCAACAUCGUCAGGAACGCCGAAUGAUUCAUUCAACACUUGAAUGAUAUCUUCCGGCUGCGUAUUCUCAAAACGCCUACUAAACUCAUCACUCAUUGCUGCCAACAUGAUGCAUCGAACAGUGAUCCGGUCACUGAGCCGCUUCUGAUAAGUGUCUCUGGCCGAUCUUCAUGCAUUAGCAGCGGGCUGCUCAGGUGCUUGAUCCGUUAUCACAUAAAGGAUCCUCUCAUGCUCUAGCACUAUUUUCAGUUUCCUAUG
rnacentral:lncRNA from 1 species